GACGAACGCUGGCGGCGUGCUUAAUACAUGCAAGUCGAACGGAAAGGCGUGUUUCGGGGGGUUCUCGCGUGGGCAACGGGCGAGUAACACACACGUGGCUUGCCUUUGUCUUUGGGUUAGCUACCGUCAACUGGGGCUAAUACAGGACAGGUGAUACUGUUGACUGGAGGGGGCUGGAAAGUUUCGGGGGUUGGGGAUGGCUUCUGGGUUUAUCAGCUUGUCGGUGGGGAAGUGGCUUACUAAGGCCUUGCCGGGUAGCCGGUCUGAGAGGGUGACCGGCAACAUUGGGACUGAGAUACGGCCCAGACUCCGACGGGAGGCAGCAGUGGGGAAUAUUGCACAAUGGGUGGAAGCCGGAUGCAGCAACGCCGGGUGCGGGAUGACGGCCUUCGGGUUGGAAACCGCUUGCGCUCAUGACGAAGCUUUGUGUGACGGUAGUGGGUAAAGAAGCACCGGCUAACUACGUG
rnacentral:rRNA from 1 species